UACGGAGGGUGCAAGCAUUAAUCGGAUUUAUUGGGCGUAAAGGGCGCGUAGGCUGGAUGGAAAGUCAGAUGUGAAAUCCCGGGGCUCAACCCCGGAACAGCAUAUGAAACUCCCAUUCUAGAGGGUAGGCGGAGAAAAUGGAAUUCCACAAGUAGCGGUGAAAUGCGUAGAUAUGUGGAAGAACACCAGUGGCGAAGGCGGUUUUCUAGCUUAUACCAGACGCUGAGGCGCGAAAGCAAGGGGAUCAAACAGG
rnacentral:rRNA from 1 species